UACGGAGGGAGCUAGCGUUGUUCGGAUAUACUGGGCGUAAAGCGCACGUAGGCGGCGCAGCAAGUCAGGGGUAAAAUCCCGGAGCUCAACUCCGGAACUGCCUUUGAAACUGCAGUGCUAGAAUUCUGGAGAGGCGAGUGGAAUUCCGAGUGUAGAGGUGAAAUUCGUAGAUAUUCGGAAGAACACCAGUGGCGAAGGCGACUCGCUGGACAGACAUUGACGCUGAGGUGCGAAAGCGUGGGGAGCAAACAGG
rnacentral:rRNA from 1 species